CCUCAGAACCAACCGCUGUGGACACCAGGAGACAGCUGUGCCUCAUUUGUCUCUGCCUGGAUUUCAGUCUGUUGGGGGUCAGAGCUAGAAAAGAAUCGGCUGCUAAUUUUCUUCCGUGAUGUUUACUUUCCCCUAAGGAACUCAGAGACUCAAAGAUUUAAAAGUCCUGUGCCCACGGAGAAUUGCCGACUGAAGGGGACGGAGCGGACCGGGUCCCUUAGGUGUGGAGACCAUUGUCAUCAGAGUGUGAAAAUGAAAUGACUCUGUAUGUAGGUCACUGACCCCCUUCUCUACUGUGAGGGUUCAAAUGAGUCAAGAUUCCCAAAUGAAACAAAGGGCAAGCUUCAGAGGAACACAAAAAGGCAAUGAGACAAAAGGAAGAAAGAGGAGGGGCCGGAGGAAGACAGAUGAUGAGGGAUUAAAAAAAUCCCACUUGAAUACGAAGGCACUUUCAAA